UACAGAGGUCUCAAGCGUUGUUCGGAUUCAUUGGGCGUAAAGGGUGCGUAGGUGGCGCGGUAAGUCGGGUGUGAAAUUUCGGAGCUUAACUCCGAAACUGCAUUCGAUACUGGCGUGCUUGAGGACUGGAGAGGAGACUGGAAUUCAUGGUGUAGCAGUGAAAUGCGUAGAGAUCAUGAGGAAGACCAGUGGCGAAGGCGGGUCUCUGGACAGUUCCUGACGCUGAGGCACGAAGGCCAGGGGAGCAAACGGG
rnacentral:rRNA from 1 species